CAGCUGUUCUAACACCUCCUGCCUGCCAGUACUGACUCUUUAUGCAUGGGGGCUUCCGGCUUAUCUAUACUUCGAAGACAGUGAACUAGGUAAUAUUAAAGGUUAACCAGAUAUAGGACUCCUCUGUCUUGCUACGAUGGACAGCCACAAGGAUUCACUUGAAUAAAAGAAGCAACAGUGGGUGCCAGGCUGUUUGCGGACCUGGGUUUGGUGUCUAACAUCCAUGUGGUGGCUCACAUCCAUCAGUAACUCCAUUCGAGGAGAUCCAAUACCCUCUACUGCCCUCCUCUAGUACCACACAGUGCUGUGGAUUGAAUGGCGGGCCUUGCACAGAAAUGUGCUGUUUUGUUAUACAUUUAUUACAAAGAAUCUCACAAAAAGAAAAUAUUUCAAAAAGAAUGCCAGGCUAAAGAACCUCCACCUGGAGAACUGGGGGAAGGCAGGGCAAUGUAAGUUCUUCUGCCUGCCCAAGACCUGUGGAAGAUAUAAACAGAACCAGUCUAAAAAUGGCUGAUAUUACCCAAGCCUGAAAAGGGCUCACAGAACACCAAGUCACCCCUGCUAGAAAGCUUAAUCAGGGCAUCUUAACAGAGCUCCUAAGCAGGCUUGGCAGUUCAGGAUUUUGUCUUCUGGUUGUUUUCUUUUCCACUUAGAAUAUCAACGUCAACAUACAGCACCCUCUGGCCAUACUUUAGCAGUUCCAGGAUGGCCAAGACGACAUCGUUGAUGUAACAGAAACCUGAGGCGUCAGACUUCUUUACAUGAUGCAGUCCCCCAGCCUGGCUCGCAGUGAUGUCCCUCUGAUGUGUAUCAAGUUUCACAGCACUUUCCAAAGAGCCACCAAUAGACAACUGACAACUCAGACAGGCCAUCGAUUACCGGGAAGUCCUCACCAACGCGGAAUCUCUGCAUCUGCUUGCUGUAUUUAGACACAUUAUCUGGGCGAAUAGAGCACAAGAGUUUAAUGUAGUCAUCACUGUGGGACUUGGUCAUCUCCUCAGCGUUGGCUCUGUGAGGACGAUAGAUUUCCAUUUUUUGGUAGAGAUGUAGUUGAGCUGCAAAUCACGAGUCAUGUGGAUUCGGUGAGGCUUCAUUGGGUGGCCCUGUCCAUAAGAUAGUUUCCAACAUCCCUGUUAACAGACGUUCCUCUUGCCCUGAGUCUGUGCCAUCUUUCUCACCACCCAGUGCUCCUGCCAGUCUGAUGUUUUAAUAUUUUUAGAUGGUGAUGCUUUGAGUUUAAAUGGCCUUUGACAAAUUCUAUCCUAAUUUCUAAUUAAGACAAGGAAAGAAAACAAAGAUGGAUAAGGACCAUAAAGUAAUGAAUGGACUGGAAACAGAAGUAAACUUAUUCAACAAUAAAA
rnacentral:lncRNA from 1 species